GCCUAGUUAGUUUGGUUGUUAGCACGUCUGCCUGGCAAGCACUAGGUCGCGGGUUCGAAUCCCGUCCGGGGUG
rfam:Asian citrus Psyllid, Diaphorina citri - Florida Strain, whole genome shotgun sequence.